rnacentral:rRNA from 1 species
GAUGAACGCUGGCUACAGGCUUAACACAUGCAAGUCGAGGGGAAACGACGGGGAAGCUUGCUUCCCCGGGCGUCGACCGGCGCACGGGUGAGUAACGCGUAUCCAACCUGCCUCUGACUGAGGGAUAACCCGUCGAAAGUCGGCCUAAUGCCUCAUGGCAUCGUCUGCGGGCAUCCAACGACGAUUAAAGAUUUCAUCGGUCAGAGAUGGGGAUGCGUCUGAUUAGCUUGUUGGCGGGGUAACGGCCCACCAAGGCGACGAUCAGUAGGGGUUCUGAGAGGAAGGUCCCCCACAUUGGAACUGAGACACGGUCCAAACUCCUACGGGAGGCAGCAGUGAGGAAUAUUGGUCAAUGGGCGAGAGCCUGAACCAGCCAAGUAGCGUGCAGGAUGACGGCCCUAUGGGUUGUAAACUGCUUUUAUGCGGGGAUAAAGUGAGGGACGUGUCCUUCAUUGCAGGUACCGCAUGAAUAAGGACCGGCUAAUUCCGUG